rnacentral:rRNA from 1 species
GACGAACGCUGGCGGCGUGCUUAACACAUGCAAGUCGAACGGAAAGGCCCUGCUUGCCGGGUACUCGAGUGGCGAACGGGUGAGUAACACGUGGGUGAUCUGCCCUGCACUUCGGGAUAAGCCUGGGAAACUGGGUCUAAUACCGGAUAGGAGCCAUUUUUAGUGUGAUGGUUGGAAAGUUUUUUCGGUGUAGGAUGAGCUCGCGGCCUAUCAGCUUGUUGGUGGGGUAAUGGCCUACCAAGGCGGCGACGGGUAGCCGGCCUGAGAGGGUGGACGGCCACAAUGGGGCUGAGGUACGGCCCGGACGCCUACGGGAGGCAGCAGUGGGGAAUAUUGCACAAUGGGCGCAGGCCGGAUGCAGCGACGCCGCGUGGGGGAUGACGGCCUUCGGGUUGUAAACUCCUUUCGCGAGGGACGAAGCUUUUUGUGACGGUACCUAGAUAAGAAGCACCGGCUAACUACGUG